rnacentral:rRNA from 1 species
CAGCCGCCGCGGUAAUACGGAGGGCGCGAGCGUUACCCGGAUUUACUGGGCGUAAAGGGCGUGUAGGCGGCCUGGGGCGUCCCAUGUGAAAGGCCACGGCUCAACCGUGGAGGAGCGUGGGAUACGCUCAGGCUAGAGGGUGGGAGAGAGUGGUGGAAUUCCCGGAGUAGCGGUGAAAUGCGCAGAUACCGGGAGGAACGCCGAUGGCGAAGGCAGCCACCUGGUCCACUUCUGACGCUGAGGCGCGAAAGCGUGGGGAGCAAACCGGAUUAGAUACCCCCGUAGUCCCUGUCUCUUAUAU